rnacentral:rRNA from 1 species
UACGUAGGGGGCAAGCGUUGUCCGGAUUUAUUGGGCGUAAAGAGCGCGUAGGCGGCUUGGUAGGUCCGCUGUGAAAACUCGAGGCUCAACCUCGAGAUGUCGGCGGAAACCACUUGGCUAGAGUCCGGAAGAGGAGAGUGGAAUUCCCGGUGUAGCGGUGAAAUGCGCAGAUAUCGGGAAGAACACCUAUGGCGAAGGCAGCUCUCUGGGACGGUACUGACGCUGAGACGCGAAAGCGUGGGGAGCGAACAGG